rnacentral:lncRNA from 1 species
UCUCUCUUUCAGACUUGGAAACAGUUUCAUUGAGAUAGCCAAGCAGUUGGGCUGAUCCAUUUGGUCCUGGAGAGCUGAGAAAGAUUUGUCUUCAGCGCUAUUAAGUCAUUACCAGAAGCAGCUGAGCUUGCAAAGGACUUUUCCUUCUGUUAUUUCCUGGUAAGACUGGUGUCCUGACCCACUCGAUCCAGCAUGGAAGAAGGAAGCUCCUGCAUGAAGAAUGUGUGCCAGGACAGACAGACAGACAGAUGCAACCCCCCCCAACAAAUAGCAUACUCAGGACAAGAAACAAACUCCUAUGAACACAGCAACCAACAUGAAGGUAAAUGCUUCUGGGUAACUAGGUGGCUCAGACUGUAGGUCUUCAAAGUUUCAAAGACUGAGUAUGAAUACUGUUUUAGAUACUUCACUAGUUUUGUGACUAAUGUAAAGUUACAGAGAUUUUCUCAGCCUUGGCUUCCACUGGGUCAAAUGGGGUUAAAAAUAGCACCUACCUCAUGGGGUUGUUGUGAAGAUCAAAUGAGAUAACAUAUUGUAAAGUGCUUUGCAAACCCUAAAGGUCUAUACAAUGCUAGCUUGAUGAAGAUGACUACGAUGCAGUGAGCUGAUACAGUAACUGUUGCUUGUAUUCCAGAAGGCAGACUGUAUCCUGUCAGAACUUUGAGGUCUGUAUCAGUUCCACUCUGACACAAGAGUUCCUUGGGCCACUGCCUGAGUUGCUAUCAGCAUUGGAAGGUCCAAAGGGAUUCUGGAUUGUUCCUAUUCCCAAAGAUCUAAGGAAACCUGGGUCAGUUCUGGAAACUUCUUGCCAAGGAUUCAGAUUAUUAUUCAGCUAAUCUAGGGUGACUGCAUAGAUUCUGGAGUAAACCAGUCUCAAAAGGCUCUUGAACAACAUGAAGACUUGGGGUAGAAUAUAAAUAUUGAUUGGAUUUUCCUGGGCUCCUUAGGUUUAAGACAGCCUUGUAUUGAGUCUUCCUCUAACGACCUUUCUCCGUUAUUUUUUUAAUUUAAUUUUAAUUUUUUUCAGCUCUGAGCUCUCUCCCAUCUACCUACACUUCCUUCUGCCCCCCUCCCAGAAAGCAAGAAAAACAAAACCCAUUAUAAACAUAUAUAGUCAAGCAAAACAAAUUCCUACAUUGGCCAUGUCAAAAAUUUUUUUUAAAAAAUGCCUCUCUAUCUGAGGUGGGUAGCAUGUUUCAUCAUGAGUCCUCUGGAAUGCUUAUCUGUACCUUCACACUCCCAAUGCCAAUUUCUCUGAUCCGGCCUGAUAGCAUAUUACAACCCAAAGAAUUUGGCUGGACCAGCCUCUAGAAUUCAGCUCAAAUGGCUAGGUUUACCAGUGAUACUUAUUGUCUCUAUGACCCCCCAUUUAGAGCACUUCUCUUUUCUUCAGCUGCUGCAUGAAGUAUUUGUGCCAAGAUGCCAUUAUCACAGGCAAGAGGCCACAGACUAGUCUGCGGUUAUUUUCCUCCUUGUUAGAAAUACCCCAGUUCUUCAAUUCCCUCUGUCAAUUCUCCAGAAAAUAGGCUAUCUGAACCUCCCUCAGUAGUGCUAAGGAAACACCAAGGACCCAAACUAACCUGAGUUCAACUCAGCACUUCACCAGACAAUUCUCAAAUGACUAAUAUGAAAGCAAUAUAUCAAUAAUUCCCGGGCCGUUCUCUCCUUUCUCCAAAAGCUAAGUAGCUGAAUCAUUGUCUUCCUGUCUAUGACAACUUCUUCAUGUUUUUACUUUAUGACUUCAGUUUGCAUGUUGGUAUCUCCUUGAAUAUCCUUCCUUCCUGGCUAUGUCAGUAGACUGGCAUUUGUUAAGUGCUAGUGCUGUGAAAAGCAUGGAGAAUAUAGACAAUGAAAAUAUCCCUGCCCCUAGGGAACUUUAAUUCUUUUCCACAUGGGUACUGUUUCCACCAAUGCAGAUAGCAACUCCUCCACUUCUUUGAUGACACAUUCAUAAGUUACUGUGACCAAAAUAUUUUUAUGCACUGGAGGCCAAUCCCCUGGUAAUGAGCCUUUCAGAACUCAGUUGGGAUGAUCUUAGUAUGACAGACACCCAAGCUCUUGCUGGGAAGGGCUUGAACUCGUCCCUGUUUGAUUAGAACCUAAAAAAGUCUUCAAGAAUCUAAGGUCACCUCUGUCACAAGGAUGCCUUCGGUAGAAGAGAGGCUUGGCAUUAUGAUAAUUUUAACAUGGUUUUUAAUCAAAAAUUAAAGUGGAAGCAUCAUAGGAAUGAGGAAUUUGUUCCUGUGGUGAAUAAAGUCUUAAGAACUGUCUGUUUUUUGCA